rnacentral:piRNA from 1 species
UCAUCUGAUUUGCGACGACCCCGGUGCU